UUGGCGUAGGUGUCUUCAGUUACAAUGAUUUUGAAAUUGAUAUUAGUGGCAGUAAUGCUGAUAGCAAAAAUUAUUAGCGAUGUUGACGGAAGCUUGGUAAACUUCAAAGAUGGAGUAGGAGAAAAAGGAGACGGAUCGCUUAUCGAAGCACCCCCUGGAACUCCAAACUUUAAAUUGUUCGAUAAUGGCAAAUAUUACAGUUAUAAUGGGUAUCUCUUGCCUAAUCAUACGGGCAAGGCCUACUGACGAGGAUACUGUCGUUUGUUCUCUGAAUGUCUAUCGUUGCACCAGGCAAAAAGCAACAUUUUGUAAUUUUAAAUAAGUAAUAAAGUUGCAAUGCGAUAAUGUAUACUGAUAUCUUAUUAAAAUUUUAUAAAAUUA